rnacentral:misc_RNA from 1 species
CUCGUCGACGACCGCCGCGACGAAUCGCAUCACGAAGGAUGGAUUAAGAGAAAGGAACAGUGAAAUUGGGCAUUUUUUGUUGGAUUAGAUACUGCAGAAGCAGUCCUACCAAAGCCCCAAAAUUUGAGUAAUCGGAUUUGUUGCGACUUGCGAGGGUUCUCUCUUCCCUUCCUUGUCCUUCUUCCUUCCCCUCUCCCCUCUCUGAUUUUC